UCGUGGAGUGAUCUGUCUGCUUAAUUGCGUUUCAGAUAAACAGUGUCGCUAGCUAUGUGAGUUAUGAUGCUUACGGGCACAUAUCGCGCAAGCACGACACUACGAAGGCAACGAACGUGACCGCAACCCUUUGUUGCAUCCGUAGAGUAUGUAUGAGAUGGUUCCUCUCUCACGGGGGGAGCUUAAUUGUAUAUACUCGUUAAGGAUCUG
rnacentral:rRNA from 1 species